rnacentral:sRNA from 1 species
AAGGGUCAAAAGGUCAUGCGAAUGUGUGCUAGCAUGUAUUCGUGUGAACUUGGGAGCCGCAAAACAUGAGAAGGCAGCCCGAAAGGGCGGAAUUUGAAUGUUAUAGGAUUUCGUGAGCACGGAGUGCGGAGAAAUCCUU